rnacentral:rRNA from 1 species
GUGGGGAAUAUUGGGCAAUGGGGGAAACCCUGACCCAGCAACGCCGCGUGAAGGAAGAAGGCUUUCGGGUUGUAAACUUCUUUUAUGAGGGACGAAGAAGUGACGGUACCUCAUGAAUAAGCCACGGCUAACUACGUGCCAGCAGCCGCGGUAAUACGUAGGUGGCAAGCGUUGUCCGGAUUUACUGGGUGUAAAGGGCGCGUAGGCGGGAUAGCAAGUCAGGUGUGAAAUCCGGGGGCUUAACCCUCGAACUGCACUUGAAACUGUUAUUCUUGAGGGAUGGAGAGGCAAGCGGAAAUCCUAGUGUAGCGGUGAAAUGCGUAGAUAUUAGGAGGAACACCAGUGGCGAAGGCGGCUUGCUGGACAUUAACUGACGCUGAGGCGCGAAAGCGUGGGGAGCAAACAGGAUUAGAAACCCGGGUAGUCC